GGCCUGGUGGUCUAGUGGUAUGAUUCCUUCUUAGGGAUUUCAGUCAUAUAUGGAGGAGGUCCCGGGUUCAAUCUCCCGCUAGGCCC